UCGGAUAUGGUGUAUGGAGCACGGCCUCUCUUGGUAUGACGAUGAUCCCGUAGAUAAGUGCAGGACGGGGUUCGAGUCCCCGUGUCCGAA